GGCUAACUACGUCCCUGCAGCCGCGGCAAUACGUAGGGUGCAAGCGUUAAUCGGAAUUACUGGGCGUAAAGCGUGCGCAGGCGGUUAGGCAAGACAGAUGUGAAAUCCCCGGGCUCAACCUGGGAACUGCAUUUGAGACUGCAUGGCUAGAGUACGGCAGAGGGGGAUGGAAUUCCGCGAGAAACACUGAAAUGCAUAGAUAUCCGGAGGAACCCCGAUGGCGAAGGCAGUCCCCUGGCCUGUCUAACACUCAUGGGCGAAAGCGGGGGGAGCAAACAGGAUUAGAUACCCUGGUAGUCAACGCCCUAACCGAUGACACUGGGUGGUGGGAGGGUUUCGCCUCCUUUAGGAACUUACUCGCAAGUUGACCACCUGUGGAGAAUGGCGGCCAGGUUUAAACUCAUAGAUUUGUCGGAACCC
rnacentral:rRNA from 1 species